rnacentral:rRNA from 1 species
UAUUGCACAAUGGAGGAAACUCUGAUGCAGCGACGCCGCGUGAGUGACGAAGGCCUUCGGGUUGUAAAGCUCUGUUCUCAGGGAAAAAGCAAGUGAUUGUACCUGAGGAGAAAGGACCGGCUAACUUCGUGCCAGCAGCCGCGGUAAGACGAGGGGUCCAAGCGUUGUUCGGAAUUAUUGGGCGUAAAGCGGGUGUAGGUGGCUCUAUAAGUCAGAAGUGAAAGCCCCGGGCUUAACCCGGGAAGUGCUUUUGAUACUGCAGAGCUUGAAUGUGGGAGAGGGUAGUGGAAUUCCAGGUGUAGUGGUGAAAUACGUAGAUAUCUGGAGGAACACCGGUGGCGAAGGCGGCUACCUGCCCAACAUGACACGAGACCCGA